GCCUAGCAAUUUAUUGGAGUGUGGGCAAAAGCAAAACAGUAUUUGAUUCAAACUUUGAGAACGUUCCUAUCUUCUUAAAAGACCAUGCUCUCAUGUAGGCUUAAGGUAGAGGUAACAGAUCCUGUACGGAUAUAGCGGGUUAACUGUGUUGCAUAUAAGCCAUUACAAAGAAGGCCAACAUGCCGAUGGAAAGGAGGAGUAGCGGCCCCGCUGGGACCAGUUUCCGGGAAGAUGCGAAACGGAAACCUGCAAGAGAGUUGUAGAAAUGAACAGAAAAAUGAGAAAAUAUUCAUCACGAAUCUGACAUACAUGCAAAGACAAAACACAUCUUCUUAGAAACUUGUUCUUACCGAAGAAGAAAGAGAAGAGGAAGGCAGAGCCGAGUCCUAUGGUAUAGCCGAGGACUCUGGUCUUUGGUGACUUAAUGAGGAAGUAGGCCUAUAUAUAGAUAUUCAAACAUUGGUAUGCUUCAGUUAACAAUUACAGUUGAACAAGAAGAACUUUGCUCAACAGGAAACAACAAAGAGAAACAAAGGUUUUGUAAAACACAGAUUUAGAGGAUCACAAUCAAGAAGAUACAAUAACAAAAUUCAGGGAUCUUUAAGGGCUUGAAUUUUGUUUAUGUUAACAUAAAAAUAACAGGGGUUCAUGCAGCUGUAAUCAGACAAACUUCUGAACAUACUAGUAAGUAAGGGUUGAUCAGACCUUGAAAUCUAAUACUUGGAAAGAGAAGAUCCAAUAUCACAAACCAUACAAUAUGAUAGGAACAGAUGUUAUGCUACAUUAGCAAAAUAUUCUACCAAAUCAACUGUUAAGAUAGUUUCUUAAGCCACCCUAAAGAGACAAAGACACCAUUUUUCUCAAGGAAUUGAAACAAAGCUUGGAUGAGAACAACAUCAAGCAGAAACAAUGUUUUGAACAGUGCACUUAGUUCCUCACUACCUUCCUCAAAGGUCAACUUUAGACUUUAACAGGCUAUGCAGCAACUAGAAACUAACAAUGAGAGGUGAGAGAGGAAGAUCUUACAGCUGCCAUAAGAACAGCACCAGUCAAACCACCAAAGAGAGAACCCUUGCUUCCAGAUUUGGUAUCUUCAAAUUUUAGGUACCAAAAAGAUCAAAACUUUAGUGAAGUGAGCAAUAAAAUCCAAAUAAAAACGUAUGUAUCAUGAGAUCAGUAACUUACAAGCGAAGAGACCGCCUCCUAGAAGAAGAACACCAUAACCAGCAGAGACGGCUGGAGCUAGCUUCGACAGCUCCGCCUUACAGGAGAGACCAUAACCUCGUUUGCUCUUCGAUUUCUCCGACAACUUAGUAAGUCCAGACCAAUUCCGACCGCAAUCACUGACACUCCGUCCGAGUUUGGUAUUUCUCACCGACACCACCGACGGAAUAUGUAACAUUAGCGCAUAAGACGACAUUUUGCUUCGCCGAAAUGUUUCCUCAGAGAAGAGAAAGGAAUUAAAUUUAUAUUAUUAACAGAACAAGAAUUGGGUUUUAAAAGGCUCAAUGUUCUUUUUGUAUCUAAUGGGUUUAGAAAAAGCUCAGCUUUUUUCUUUACUUCUUCUCUCCUUCAAGGCCCUGUUCUAAAAAUUCUAAAAACUCUGACUUGUUCAAUUUUAAAGUUCUUAAUUUUCGUUUGUCUCAUGCUGAUGCGUUGCUUGCAAUAAAAAAAUCUUAGCUGAGGACAAACAGAUUCACCAAAUAUUUGUAUAGUACAUUACACAGUAAUGUUUACAAAAUCCACUUUGUUACAUGAAAAUGUUGUUUGCUGUUUACUAUACACAUCACUAAGCAGAAGAAGAAUCUGAGUCUUUCUUCUUUUCUUUUGGGUUUCUGAAAAAUAUCAUAUACACCGAAACUCAAAUUGAUGUAAUUCUGGAAAGCAACAAUAAAGACUUGGAGUUAGAACUAAAAGAUGGAGAGCAAGUAGCCGAGGAACAAGAGAUUGUAGCUGAUCAAAAAGAUCUUUUAAGCAUUCUAAGUGGUCCAAUGACUCGAUCAAGGACUAAGAAGCUUAAGCAAAUCAUUGGAGCUAUCAUCAAAGGCCUUGACUCGAUUCAGGAGGGAAAAAUCCGAUCACAAGAACCCUGAUUGUGAUCCAAGUCCAAGACGGCUAAGUGGGCUUGAGAUCCAGGCUUGUACUCUUUUUCCUUGUCUCAAGUUUGGUCCCAUUGGGUUUUCUUGAGAUAGGUUUUUAAUGAGACAAGAAAGGAUCUCUAUUUCACCUAAGUACACAAAGCCUUAAGCCCAAGCUGUGUCAUCAAGAGGAGCGUCUAAAAUCAAGUUCAAACUUAACAGCUUGUUCUUUGUUUAUUUCCGAGAUGAGUUAAUGAUUGUGAGACUCAUCUCUUCUUUCUUUCUUCUUUAUAUUCGCUUGAACUCCUUUGUAUCAAAGCAUCUUAUCUUUUAUUCUAAAACUCUUUCUUAAAAAUUAAGAUCUCGUUUGUUGGUGUGUCAUAUCCUUCAAACAACUCGAAUCGACUUUGUGUGAGUCAUAUCACUUAGAAGAUUCAAGCAGACAUAUCAAAAGUGUUCUGCGACUCUUGUGUGUGUCGUAUCGCUUCUCCAAAAACUUUGGAACGGUUCUGAUUGUUUUCAAGGUCUAUCUUUUAAGUUCCAGUCGUUACAGUGUCGAUCAAGGGCAGAUCCUUAUUAUGAUCACAUCACAAAUCUUCUUGGCAAAAUUCAGAUAUUUCUGCGACCUUAUAGAUGCAGUUUUUACAUCUGCCUUUAUUCCAGGGUAAAUAUCACUCUCUUGCUUAUUAAAACUUCCAAGUUUCUGUUGGAAAACAAAACUUUUUGACAAGUAUAAUUUAAGAACAAAUGCAGAUAUCUUGCACCAAGGCCUGCAACGAUGUUCCGUAAUCGACUCUGUGUUGAUGGAGGCUUGACAUUGUUUAUGCUACCAACAGCUGCUACUAAAACAGUACGUACAUGAUGCUUCUUGUUUUUGUUCUCUUUUUCUCUAUCUUUCCCUAUAUGUUUCGUUCACUGUUCAUUUCAAAUCUUUGAGUGGCUAAAGAAUGUGUGCACUCUUUGGGGUUUUUUCAAAUCUAACUUCUAAAAUGUUCCAUGUAUGUUAAUAAAGUUUUUAUGUAAAUGUAUCACAGAUUCGAGUUUGUGCUUUUUCGGCGAGUAGCUUCAAACGAAAUGGUAUUGAGAUCAGCCCAGAUUGCAAACCAUUAAUGAUAGAAUUAUGGAAGAGGAAACAAGGGACGAGGUGCGAACCGAGGUUCAGGUCGGGAAACAAGACCAAGUGGCCGACCUAAAUGUGGCCGACCUAAAUGAAGUCCUGGCCGUGCCAACCGGUCCAAGAUGCUUACGGGAGCGAUCCAACGAGUUCUCACCGACCUGGGAAGCCAAGGCCGAGCUGACGACCCAACACCAGUUCAUAAAGCCAUGACCAUCAUUAUGUACUCUGGUCCGAACUGACCUGGUUAGGGUGUCGUUUUAAUACUUUUUUUCCUUGCAUUCGGUUUUGUCCCACUGGGUUUUCCGAAUGGGAUUUUAACGAGGUUAAGGCACACCCAUCUCACGACCAUGGUUCGAUUCGCGGCCAAGUAUAACGGCUAGAAGUUCAAAAGUCUAGCGGGAGGAUGCGAAGGGUCACCAGGAAGUCUGAUCGUUAUUCAACGUUCUCUUUACUUUCAUUUAUUGUCUUUUAAUUCUUAUGUAUGACCGAUGGUCUCCCUUUUGCCUCUAUAUAAAGGCAUCGAUGUACUUAGACUUAUCAUCACUUAUAUUUUUAAUAAAAUUUUCUCUUUGUUGUGAAAACUUAGAAACUUUAUUAAUCACUGGAAUAUAUAUAUAGAAUACAUAGGGAAUCUAGGUUAAGUACAAUGCCCUGAUGGGCCUAAUGGGCCGGUAUAAGAGUCCAUAUAUGAUAUGUGUUAUAACACGCAUUACUCCCCAUGAUUGUAGCAUCACUGCAGAUCUCUAAGUCUAUACAUUCCUAUCUGUUUGACGAGCUUCCGGUGUGUUGAAGUAGGCAAUGAUUUGGUGAAGAGGUCAGCUGAAUUCUCACUGGAUCGGACCUGCUGAACGCUGAGAGUGCCGUCCUUCUGCCAGUCUGAGGUUGAGAAGAACUUCGGUAGAAUGUGCUUCGUCCGAUCUCCUUUGAUAUAUCCUUCCUUGAGCUGAGCUAUGCAUGCCGCGUUGUCUUCAUACAUCACCGUGGGCUGUGUGUCUUCGUCCAUACCACAAUCUCUGCGGAUGUGCUGAGUCAUGGAGCGCAGCCAGACGCAUUCCCUACUAGCCUCAUGAAUGGCUAGGAUUUCAGCAUGGUUUGAUGAAGUGGCAGUGAGUGUCUGCUUCAUUGAUCUCCAAGAGAUGGCUGUUCCUCCAUGCAUAAAAACGUAGCCAGUUUGAGACUUGGCAGUGUGCGGAUCUGAUAGAUAUCCUGCAUCGGCGAAGCCGACUAACCCAUCUUUAUUUUGGUUAGUAUAGAAGAGUCCUAAGUCUUGAGUACCUCGAAGGUAUCUUAGGAGAUGUUUUAUACCGUUCCAGUGCCUCUGAGUUGGAGAUGAACUAUAUCGAGCGAGGAGGUUCACGGCGAAACAUAUGUCUGGUCUAGUGUGACUAGCCAGGUACAUUAACGCUCCUACAGCACUGAGGUAUGGCUUUUCAGGACCAAGGAUUUCUUCAUCAUCCUUUUUGGGACCAAGAGGGUCAUCACUUAAGCUUCUAACUACCAUUGGGCUGGUCAAUGGGUGAGCUUGGUCCAUAUUAAAUCGCUUGAGUACCUUUUCGAUAUAAGCCGAUUGAUGCACAAGGAUUCCUCCUUUGAUGUACUCAAGUUGUAAUCCCAAACAGUACUUUGUUUUGCCUAGGUCUUUCAUUUCGAAUUCUGUUUUUAAGCAGUCGACUGUUUGGGAGAUCUCACCAGAUGUUCCGAGGAUGUUUAGAUCAUCCACGUAUACUGCUAUGAUUACAAAUCCUUUGUUUGAGUACUUCUUGAUGAAGAUGCAUGGACUGAUGGGGUCAUUUUUGUAGCCUUCUUUGAUGAGGUAAUCGCUGAGGCAGUUGUACCACAUACGCCCACUUUGUUUCAGUCCAUACAAGGAUUUGUUCAGCCUGAUGCAGUAUUGAUCUCGAGAUGCAUUUUUGUCUUUUAGUUCAAUGCCAUCUGGGAGUCUCAUAUAUAUUUCGUUGUCCAGGGGCCCAUAGAGAUAUGCGGUUACAACAUCCAUUAACCGCAGAUCAAGAUUUUCUCUUAUGGCCAGACUUAUGAGGAAUCGGAAUGUUGUUGCAUCCACCACUGGAGAAUAAGUCUCCUCAUAAUCGAUUCCGGGUCUCUGUGAGAAUCCUUGUGCUACAAGCCGUGCUUUGUAUCGAACGACUUCACCGAGUUCGUUCCUUUUGCGCACAAAGACCCAUUUGUGGCCCACUGGCUUGAUGUGUGAUGGGGUCCGGAUGAUCGGACCGAACACGUUUCUGAGUUUGAGACUCUUUAACUCCACGUUUAUGGCUUCUUUCCAUUUUAGCCAAUCUGUUCGAUGUGUACACUGUGUUAUUGACGUGGGUUCUAGAUCCUCUUGCGUGAGUGCAACAUCAAGUGCUACUUUGUAUGCAAAGAGUGCAUUUAAGUCGACUUCUUUUCGAUUCCAUUGUAUUUCGGACAUAUUGUAAUUGAUGGAGAUCUCAUUGUUAUCUUCUGAACCUGGAGAUUCGGCGUCCCGAACUUCCAUUGAGGGUUCAUUAGAUUGAGUCUCAGCCGCGGCUAUGUCUGAUAUUGCAGGAAUCCCGGUUUCGGUUAUUGCACCUUUCUUUAAUUUCCGGGGAUUCUUAUCUUUGGAACCGAGAGGUCUGCCCCGUUUGAGACGUGGUGCAGACUCUGUAGCAACUUGGGUCUGUCCCGUUGGGACAGCUAUUCGUACUGGUGCAUUACAAGCUGGGAUGUACGAUUUGGUUACUUUGGUCGGGUCAGCAAAGGAAUCUGGCAAUUGAUUAGCUAGCUUUUGAUAAUGAAUAAUCUUUUGGAUCUCUGAAUCACAUUCUAGAGUCCGAGGAUCUUGCCAAUUUAAUGAUGUUUGAUUCCAUGAAAGAUCUUUGACCAGCUUGUUUGUCUCACCACCUAAAGAGGGAUAUACCGAUUCAUCGAAUUGGCAAUCCGCAUAUCUGGCCUUGAAGAGAUCUCCAGUGGUUGGCUCGAGAUAUCUUAUGAUGGUGGGAGAGUCAAAACCAACAUAUAUUCCCAUCCUUCUUUGAGGUCCCAUUUUGGUUCGAUGUGGUGGAGCAAUGGGUACAUAUACUGAACACCCAAAUGUUUUGAGAUGGGAGAUGUCUGGCUCAUGACCCGAGAGUAGUUGGGAUGGGGAAUAUUUGUGUUCACUAGAUGGCCGGAUGCGUAUGAGUUCAGCAGCAUGUAAUACUGCAUGUCCCCAUGCUGAGGCCGGGAGCUUUGAUCUCAUGAGUAAUGGUCGGGCUAUCCAUUGAAUGCGUUUAAUGAAUGAUUCAGCCAAUCCAUUUUGAGUAUGGACAUGUGCUACAGGAUGUUCCACGGUUACCCCCAUGGCCAUACAGUAGUCAUUAAACGCUUGUGAGGUAAAUUCACCAGCAUUGUCAAGGCGGAUAGUCUUUAGUGGGAAGUCAGGGAAAUGGGCCCGCAAUUUUAUGAUUUGGGCCAAGAACCUAGCGAAGGCUUGGUUCCGAGAGGACAAGAGACAAACAUAUGACCAACGGGUCGAUGCGUCUAUAAGGACCAUGAAGUACCGGAAUGGUCCGGAAGAUGGAUGUAUAGGUCCACAGAUAUCGCCCUGGAUUCUUUCUAGGAAAUAAAGUGUUUGUUUAGAGAUUUUAACUGGUGAAGGCCGAGUGAUCAAUUUGCCUUGAGAACAAGCUGUGCACAUGAGGUGUUGAGGAUAAGCUCGGUUUUCUUUGAGGGUAUGCCCUUGAGAGUUUUGAAUUAGUUUACGCAUCAUAUUUGCACCGGGAUGACCGAGCCGGUCGUGCCAAAUAGUAUAAUCAGUAAAUCGGGCUUUGAGAGUGGUAUUAGCUUCAAUCAUACUGACUUUAGCAUGGUAAAGUCCAGUAGAGAGCGCGGGUAUGGUUUCGAGGAUUUGUUUAUGGCCGUCUACGGUUUUAGUGACUAGGAGGGAUUCUUUGUUCCCUUGACCUUGGGUUUCUAUGUGGAAACCAUUCUGUCUUAUAUCCUUGAAGCUCAGAAGAUUUUUCUUCGAACUAGGAGAAUAUAGAGCAUCUGGUAUUUCAAGUUGUGUGCCAUUUGAUAGCAACACAUAGGCAUGGCCAUAUCCUUCGAUAAGGUUUGAGGGACCCGCGAUGGUGCUAAUAUUUGCGGUUUGAUAGGUUAGGUUUAUGAAGUAACUUUUGUUUCUUAAGAUAGUGUGGCUGGAUCCACUAUCUACGACUAUGGUUUCCAUUUGCUGGUGUGCUUUAUUAUGAAUAGAAGAUAGAAUUCAGUAUUGAGGAAUUCAGAAAAUGUGAUAAAUCAUAAAGUAAAGCAGUGUCUGAGAAUAAAGGCAAAUGGAAAAAAAAAUGAAACAAAUCCCAAAAUGAAAAAAAUAAAGAACAAAAUCAAAUUGUAUCAGAGUUUCAGAUGAUUGAAUUAAUCGAGAAGAUCAGUUGUUUCAUAGUCCAUGGGGUCGGUCUGCUCGUUUGUGGUGUUCUCAUCAUCAAGGAGGUCGUCACCUUCCAGGUUAGCAGCAUCGACUGGCUGAGUCAUGUUGGCUUCAGCAGGAGCUUUUCCGUACUUCUGGUAUAGAUCGCAGUGGAUCUUGGGGGUGCGACAUUGCUUUGUUGGGUGGUUGAACAUCUCACAUCUGGUACAAGCAGAGUGAUCGGGGUUGGUGUGGCGGGUCGGCUUGGUGAUGCCUCGACCACGACCAGGACCAUAACUGAGGUUAGGUCGGUUGCCACGACCAUGUCCGCGUCCACGUCUUCCACGUCCAUGUCCUCGGCCAUUACCACGUCCAUUACCACGUCCACGGCGGUGAUCUGAGGAUCUAUCGGGUUGAACAUGGUAGGACUCUUGACGAGAAGCUGGGACAGGAGCCGAUCCCGGGGGCCUCAUAGCGCUGUUCCUCAUAAGCAGCUGGUUAUUCUUCUCAGCGAGGAGAAGACAGGACAACAAGUCUUCGUACAAUGUGUGUUUCAUUGCACGGUAUUGUUGUUGGAGCACAACAUUCUCUGUGCUGAAUGUGGAUAAUGUUUUCUCGAGGAGAUCAUUAUCUGUCACAUCCUCGCCACAGAGUUUCCGGAUGGCAACAAUACGAAAGAGUUCGUUGUUGUAAUCAUCUACGGAUUUGUAGUCCUGGAACCGAAGGUUCUUCCAGUCGAAAUCUGCCUGAGGCAACUGGACCAUUUUCUGAUGGUCAUAUCGCUUUUUCAGCGCUUGCCACAAUUCAAGUGGAUUCUCAAGAGUGAGAUAUUGCUGCUUAAGGCUCGGGGCCAGAUGAUGGCGUAUGUGACAUAUCGCCUGAGACUGUCCCUUACGGGAUGCGGUGUUACCGUCGGUAAUACACGCAUCGAGUUCUUUCGAUGCAAGGAACAAGCGCAUGUCUAGGGCCCACUCGAGGUAGUUAUCCCCGGAGACGUGAAGGGCCUCGAAUUCACAUUUCUGAAUGUUUGACAUCUGAAACAUGAGAUUGAUUUUGUUAGGGAUUGUUUUGAGAAAAUUUUGAAUGCUGAUGAUGAAACUUUCUAUUUUGAGAAUAUUUCUAUUUUAGGAAAGUUUCUAAAUUUGGAAAGUUUCUAAUUUGGGUAAUUUUCUAAAUGAGGAAAGUUUCUAUGUCGGGAAAAUUUCUAUAUGAGGAAAGUUUUUUUUUUUUUAUAUAUAUGAGGAAACUUUCUAUUAGAGGGAACUUUCUCGGAAAUAGUAAAUUUUAAAGGGUAUGGUUUUAGUUACCCCGAACAUGAUGUCGGUUUAAUAGCUGUGAUUUAAUCGGUUAAAGCCGAAUAUAAUUUCGGUUAAUGAGAACCAAGUUUAGCCGGUUUUAGGCGGUUUAGGAGGAACCCUAGGGGAGCCGAAUAUGAUUAGGGUUUUAUCUAGGGUUUUAACGGUUUGGAAAACAUAUUUUGGAUGUGAUUUCGAGAUCUAUAGGAUCUGUGGUCGAUGGUUUUAAUAAUUUCGCAAGGACAACAAAGAAAUCACGUGAAAAGGACUAGGGUUUAAGCAUUAUGACUUACGAUUUUGAAGAUUACAAAAUCGUGAAUCAAGCUUAGGAUUUAGGGUUGAUUUUCUUAGUUUAUUCAAUCAAGUGUUUCAAGCAAGAGAAUCAACAAUCAAAUAAGCUGCAACAAGCUUAUUAAACAUGAAGAAAAUCGAAUAGGUUUAUGCCAUAAACAUGGCCAAAAACGGUUGUUAGGUUUUUGUAGAUUAGGGUUUUAUAAAACGAGUUUAAAACUUUUGAACAUGCAUAAACUUGUAAUUUAAACAAUCAAUCAACAAGUUAUCAAUCAAUCAUCAGAGUAUCAAACACUUUCAAUCAAUUAGAGAUCGAUUUUUUUUUUUUUUAUAUAGGGUUUUGAAGUGUUUAAACAACAGGUUCUAUGGCUCUCAGUUUUAGAAGAUACCUUUUCCACCUUUGGAUUUCUGACAGGCUAAUGAAACUGGGAGCUAAUAGACCUCAGUUAGCCGCUACAAAUUCCAAGGAUUGAUCACCAAAACUGGAGAAGCUGCUGGUUGAAGAAGGAAAAACUCGGAUCUGGUUUUUUUUUUUUUUUUUCGGUUGAUCGUCGUGUACUGUAAGUGUGCGUGAGGGCGCGUCCGACGUUGGAUCGACAAACGGUUUUCACCAGUAGAUUCGUCUCGUCGAGGGCUUCGAUUUGAUAUGUAGAUCGUCUUCUGGUUCCUCACGGUUUGGAAGAUAUGCGUCUUUUAAGUUUCGACUUGCUUUUAGGGUUUUGGUGGUGGCCGGAUUUAUUAGGGUUUUUCGCUCAGAGAGUCUUAUCGUGCUGAUAACGUGUUGUGAAAACUUAGAAACUUUAUUAAUCACUGGAAUGUAUAUAUAGAAUACAUAGGGAAUCUAGGUUAAGUACAAUGCCCUGAUGGGCCUAAUGGGCCGGUAUAAGAGUCCAUAUAUGAUAUGUGUUAUAACACUCUUUGAGUUUUCUCUUUUGUUCUCUAAGAACUUUUCGAUAUUUUGGUGGUUAGCCAUUGAUCGAUUUCUGGUUUAUCAAGUAGUUUCACCCUGCUUGACUCUGGUUUAUCAAGUAGUUUCAUCCUGCUUGACGCAGCCUUCGUUUACAAAGUGUGAGAGAGAGUUUGUAGUCAUAUCUGGGGCUUAGGGAAUUUCGAGACUUGUCUCACACCCUGACAUCCGAUAUCGCAACCCCCUUGUUCAUUUUUGUACAUCCCCUCGUUUACGGUCAUUUCUUUGGAAUUUGGCCUAAGGAUUUUCGAGUUUUACUCACGCCUUAGCAUCUCUUUCACCGAAGCAAUCAGGAUUCAAGGAUCUAUCAAUCUCUACCGAAUCAAGUGUGUGACAAUUCUAGGACGGUCUUCUAUCAAUUAAACAGGGCAACAUCUAGACAAGACAACAUCUAGACAAGAGUAAGUGUGUUGAUCUUGUUUUUUCUGAUACUUAGCUAUUGAAUUGGGCACUGGAGCCAGCAGAGGACGAAGUGUUGGAGAAGUUGUUUGAUCUGGGAUAUGCAGAUGUUGCCACGUGGUCUGAGAUGAAUCCAGUCGAGGAAUUGGUCUAUAACGAUACUCCUUCAGCUCAAACGAUCCAAGCUAGUUAGAACACAAGAACUCCAUACUCAUUUCUUUUAACCAUAUACAUAUAGUCUGUUUAUUGCACUACAAUAGAUUCUUAUAGUUUUUUGCAUAAGCUUGGCUCUUGAUGUUACAGGAACUUGUAGUUCUUAUAUCAAACAAAUUCAAUGGUACAUCACUUUCUGUCUUGAGUUCAUAUACUUUCUAUCUUGACUAUUUGUAGCCAAUCUCGCUCAAAUUUCCAAAGAGUUUUUUCACAAAAUAUUUCACCCUACUCUUGUUAUCAUUGAAGAUCAGAAAGCUAAAAACUUUCAUCUAGAAUGGAGAUGCAUCUGUGUCUGAUUUAGCAACAAACCUCAAACAAACAUUAUUCUCUCCACAUUAGCCUCACAAAGCCUAGCAAUUUAUUGGUGUGUGGGCAAAAGCAAAACAGUUUCUGAUUCAUGCUUUGAGAACUGUCCUGUCUUCUUAAAAGCCCAUGGUCAUGUAGGCUUAAGGUAGAGGUAACGGAUCCGGUACGGGUAUAGCGGGUAAACUGUCGUGCAUAUAAGCCAUUACAAAGAAGGACAACAUGCCGAUGCUAAGGAGGAGUAGCGGCCCCGA
rnacentral:lncRNA from 1 species